rnacentral:rRNA from 1 species
CAGUGGCGAACGGGUGAGUAACACGUGAGCAAUCUGCCCUUGACUCUGGGAUAACUGCGGGAAACUGUAGCUAAUACCGGAUACGACCUGAAGAGGCAUCUUUUUGGGUGGAAAGAAUUUUGGUCAAGGAUGAGCUCGCGGCCUAUCAGCUAGUUGGUGAGGUAAUGGCUCACCAAGGCGACGACGGGUAGCCGGCCUGAGAGGGUGACCGGCCACACUGGGACUGAGACACGGCCCAGACUCCUACGGGAGGCAGCAGUGGGGAAUAUUGCACAAUGGGCGCAAGCCUGAUGCAGCAACGCCGCGUGAGGGACGAAGGCCUUCGGGUUGUAAACCUCUUUUAGUAGGGAAGAAGCGACUGGGUUUUCCUGGGAGUGACGGUACCUGCAGAAAAAGCACCGGCUAACUACGUGCCAGCAGCCGCGGUAAUACGUAGGGUGCAAGCGUUGUCCGGAAUUAUUGGGCGUAAAGAGCUCGUAGGCGGUUUGUCGCGUCUGCUGUGAAAACCCGAGGCUCAACCUCGGGCCUGCAGUGGGUACGGGCAGACUAGAGUGCGGUAGGGGAGAUUGGAAUUCCUGGUGUAGCGGUGGAAUGCGCAGAUAUCAGGAGGAACACCAAUGGCGAAGGCAGAUCUCUGGGCCGUAACUGACGCUGAGGAGCGAAAGCAUGGGGAGCGAACAGGAUUAGAUACCCUGGUAGUCCAUGCCGUAAACGUUGGGAACUAGAUGUGGGGACCAUUCCACGGUCUCCGUGUCGCAGCUAACGCAUUAAGUUCCCCGCCUGGGGAGUACGGCCGCAAGGCUAAAACUCAAAGGAAUUGACGGGGGCCCGCACAAGCGGCGGAGCAUGCGGAUUAAUUCGAUGCAACGCGAAGAACCUUACCAAGGCUUGACAUAUACCGGAA